GGCGUCGGUGUGGGACGGCCUACCAUGCAAGUCGGGGCGGUAACAGGAAGCAGCUUGCUGCUUUGCUGACGAGCGGCGGACGGGUGAGUAAUGUCUGGGGAUCUGCCCGAUGGAGGGGGAUAACCACUGGAAACGGUGGCUAAUACCGCAUGACCUCUGAGGAGCAAAGUGGGGGACCUUCGGGCCUCACGCCAUCGGAUGAACCCAGAUGGGAUUAGCUAGUAGGUGGGGUAACGGCUCACCUAGGCGACGAUCCCUAGCUGGUCUGAGAGUGAUGCACCAGCGCACACUGGGACUGAGCACCACGGAACUCAGGAAUCGUCCUACGAUGCGUACGCAGUCAGCUGCGGACAUAAUUGGCACAAUCGGGCGCAAUGCCUGAACGGCAAUGCCAUGCCGAGAGUAUCGAACGCAAGGCAUUCAAGGAUAGUAAAUGUACCUUCAGGCGGGGAGGUAAGGCAGUGCAAGUCGAAUACAACUUCACGAUUGACGUCACCCGCAGAAGAAUGCUACCUGGCUAACUCCGUGCCAGCAGCCGCAGUAAUACGGAGGGUGCAAGCGUUAAUCGGAAUUACUGGGCGUAAAGCGCACGCAGGCGGUCAAUUAAGUUAGAUGUGAAAUCCCCGGGCCUCAACCUGGGAACUGCAUCUAAGACUGGUUGACUAGAGUCUCGUAGAGGGGGGGUAGAAUUCCACGUGUAGCGGUGAACAUGCGUAGAGAUGUGGAAGAAUACCGGGUGGCGAAGGCGGCCCCCCUGGACGAAGACCGACGCUCUAGGUGCCGAAAGUCGUCGCGCAACAAACAGGAUUACAUACCCUGGUAGUCUUCACGCCGGAAACCAUGUUCCACCUACGAAGUUGUGCGCCUUUGAGCCGUCGCCUUCCGAGAGCUAACGCGUGUAAGUCCACCCCCCCGGGGAGAUAGCGGUCGCACAGAUUAAAACUCAAAUGAAUUCGACGGGGGCACCGCACAAGCGGACUGGUAGCAUCUGGGUUUAUAGUCUGAUGCAAGCGCGAAGAACCGUACAUACUCCUGACAUACAGUCGAAUCCUUUCAGAGAUGAAGCGGUGCCUUCUGCACGAACACUGACACAGGUGCUGCAUGGCUGUCGUACAGCUCGAGUUGUGAAAUGAUGAGAUUAAGUCCCGCAACGAGCGCAACCCUUAUCCUCGGAUGCGUCUAGCACAUCGAUGAAGCUGGGAACUCAAGGGAGACUGCCGGUGAUAAACCGGAGGAAGGUGGGGAUGACGUCAAGUCAUCAUGGCCCUUACGAGUAGGGCUACACACGUGCUACAAUGGCAGAUACAAAGAGAAGCGACCUCGCGAGAGCAAGCGGAACUCAUAAAGUCUGUCGUAGUCCGGAUUGGAGUCUGCAACUCGACUCCAUGAAGUCGGAAUCGCUAGUAAUCGUAGAUCAGAAUGCUACGGUGAAUACGUUCCCGGGCCUCGUACACACCGCCCGUCACACCAUGGGAGUGGGUUGCAACAGAAGGAGGUAGCUUAACCUUCGGGAGGGCGCUUACCACUUUGUGAUUCAUGAACGGGGUGAAGUCGUUACGAGAAUCCAAGGCCA
rnacentral:rRNA from 1 species